CUAAAUAAUUAUGAGUUUACAUUUUGGUCCCAUAAAUUGUAAAAUUCACAUUUUGGUCCCCUUGGUUUUGCUCCGUCAGUCAAAUUGAUCCCAUCCGUUAGUUUUUUAAUGUUUAAAAUUUUUGAUAUGAUAUUAGCCGUUUGAUUGCAUGUUCAUUAUACCUAUAGUGAGCCGUCGGCACCUAAUUUUUCCAGCACUAUCAUCUUAUCUCUUCUUCUCCCUCACUCUUGUUCAUCAUCAAAUAUUCAUACAUUCAUCACAAUUCACAACAACCUAGAAAAAAGAAGAAUUUAAACCCAAAAAAUUAAUAAAACUUGGAAACACACAGAUCUAUUUAUUUUUUUUAGAUUCUGGAAAUACACCACAACAACAAUCAGUUCCCAUUUCUCCAUCAAUCUGAGCUUUCUUCACAUCAAAUCCAAAUCUAUUUCACAAAACCAAUCCAGCAAAACAAAAUACAACACAAUAAAGAAAAAAGGAAACCACGAGGCUUCAAAGUCCAAAACAGUGAACACAAACAAAACAAAACAAAUGCCAAACUGUUAUUGUCCAUUGUCCGGCGCGGUGGUGGGGUCGUUUUCCGGUGCGGUAGUCGCCGAGAAAAUUCACCCGUUCGUGGUUUUUCUUUGUGGGUUUUGUAGAGAAUAUGAAGGAGAAUAUGUUUAUGGUGGUGGUUUGUCAUGAAACAAUUUGUGGUGGUCUAGAUCUAAUAAUGAAAGUGACGGUUUGGAGACUAUAAUAUAUCUCCGAUCCAAAAUUAAAUUUCAGAAUGAGAUAGAGAAAGAAGAGAGUAUGUAGAUUAUGUAUUUUGUUUGACAAAAGAUGGCCGGAAAAUUCAGUUGAAAAGGAGGAGAGGGAGAGUAUGGCUUUGUUUUGUAGAGAGAGGAAGAAAGAAAAGGAAAUGAAAGAAGAGUAGAGUAGAUUUUGUAAAGAGAGGAAAAAAUUAUGGUUUUUUUUUUCUUUUG
rnacentral:lncRNA from 1 species